CCUACGGGAGGCAGCAGUAGGGAAUAUUGCUCAAUGGGGGAAACCCUGAAGCAGCAACGCCGCGUGGAGGAUGAAGGUUUUCGGAUUGUAAACUCCUUUUGUUAGAGAAGAUAAUGACGGUAUCUAACGAAUAAGCACCGGCUAACUCCGUGCCAGCAGCCGCGGUAAUACGGAGGGUGCAAGCGUUACUCGGAAUCACUGGGCGUAAAGAGCGCGUAGGCGGGAUAGCAAGUCAGAUGUGAAAUCCUAGGGCUUAACCAUAGAACUGCAUUUGAAACUGUUAUUAUAGAGUAUGGGAGAGGUAGGUGGAAUGCUUGGUGUAGGGGUAAAAUCCGUAGAGAUCAAGAGGAAUACUCAUUGCGAAGGCGACCUGCUAGAACAUAACUGACGCUGAUGCGCGAAAGCGUGGGGAGCAAACAGGAUUAGAUACCCGAGUAGUC
rnacentral:rRNA from 1 species